rnacentral:rRNA from 1 species
GAUGAACGCUGGCGGCGUGCCUAAUACAUGCAAGUCGAGCGAACAGACGAGGAGCUUGCUCCUCUGACGUUAGCGGCGGACGGGUGAGUAACACGUGGAUAACCUACCUAUAAGACUGGGAUAACUUCGGGAAACCGGAGCUAAUACCGGAUAAUAUAUUGAACCGCAUGGUUCAAUAGUGAAAGACGGUUUUGCUGUCACUUAUAGAUGGAUCCGCGCCGCAUUAGCUAGUUGGUAAGGUAACGGCUUACCAAGGCAACGAUGCGUAGCCGACCUGAGAGGGUGAUCGGCCACACUGGAACUGAGACACGGUCCAGACUCCUACGGGAGGCAGCAGUAGGGAAUCUUCCGCAAUGGGCGAAAGCCUGACGGAGCAACGUCGCGUGAGUGAUGAAGGUCUUCGGAUCGUAAAACUCUGUUAUUAGGGAAGAACAAAUGUGUAAGUAACUAUGCACGUCUUGACGGUACCUAAUCAGAAAGCCACGGCUAACUACG